GCGCGCCUGGCUGAGCUAGAACUUGAUGCCCCUCCGGGCUGCCUGGAUUUUCCGGUUCUGAAUUCCCUUCCAGCUAGUUGACCUCCGGGGGCCCAGUGUUGCAGGUUGAUAAGAAAAUGAAAUGAACUCUGCUGGUCGGCUGCAAUAGGACAGGAUGGACCUGGCUCUAUACUUGGCUAAGCAAACAAAAUGGUUGGUCGCCUCUUCCCCGCCUCAGGACCCAAACACAGGUUCCCUCUUCCCUCACCCAUUCCUCCCCUCUUUCUGCUUUUCUUCUUCCUCCUUCCCCCAUCCUUUUUCUCCCUCUUGUUUUUCUCUUCUUC